rfam:Salimicrobium flavidum strain DSM 23127 genome assembly, contig: Ga0111645_109
GCGCCCGUAGCUCAAUUGGAUAGAGCGUCUGACUACGGAUCAGAAGGUUAGGGGUUCAAGUCCUCUCGGGCGCA